GUGGGGAAUUUUGGACAAUGGGGGCAACCCUGAUCCAGCCAUGCCGCGUGCGGGAAGAAGGCCUUCGGGUUGUAAACCGCUUUUGUCAGGGAAGAAAUCCUUUGGGUUAAUACCUCGGAGGGAUGACGGUACCUGAAGAAUAAGCACCGGCUAACUACGUGCCAGCAGCCGCGGUAAUACGUAGGGUGCGAGCGUUAAUCGGAAUUACUGGGCGUAAAGCGUGCGAAGGCGGUUUUGUAAGAUCGAUGUGAAAUCCCCGGGCUCAACCUGGGAACUGCAUUGGUGACUGCAAGGCUGGAGUGCGGCAGAGGGGGAUGGAAUUCCGCGUGUAGCAGUGAAAUGCGUAGAUAUGCGGAGGAACACCGAUGGCGAAGGCAAUCCCCUGGGCCUGCACUGACGCUCAUGCACGAAAGCGUGGGGAGCAAACAGGAUUAGAUACCCGAGUAGUCC
rnacentral:rRNA from 1 species